rnacentral:rRNA from 1 species
CCUACGGGGGGCAGCAGUGAGGAAUAUUGGUCAAUGGGCGCGAGUCUGAACCAGCCAUGCAGCGUGAAGGAUGACUGCCCUACGGGUUGUAAACUGCUUUUAUAAAGGAAUAAAGUGAGGCACGUGUGCCUGUUUGUAUGUACUUUAUGAAUAAGGAUCGGCUAACUCCGUGCCAGCAGCCGCGGUAAUACGGAGGAUCCGAGCGUUAUCCGGAUUUAUUGGGUUUAAAGGGAGCGUAGAUGGGUUGUUAAGUCAGUUGUGAAAGGUUGCGGCUCAACCGUAAAAUUGCAAUUGAUACUGGCAGACUUGAGGACAGUUGCGGUAGGCGGAAUUUGUGGUGUAGCGGUGAAAUGCUUAGAUAUCACGCAGAACUCCGAUUGCGAAGGCAGCUUACUAAACUGCCACUGACAUUGAUGCUCGAAAGUGUGGGUAUCAAACAGGAUUAGAUACCCCUGUAGUC